AAGGAUCAUUACAGAGUUCAUGCCCUUAUGGGUAGAUCUCCCACCCUUGACUAUUUUACCUUUUUGCUUUGGCGGGCCGCUUAGGCUACCGGCUUUCGCUGGUGAGUGCCCGUCAGAGGAUUUAAAAUUCUAAAUUCUAAUGUCGUCUGAGUACUAUAUAAUAGUUAAAACUUUCAACAACGGAUCUCUUGGUUCUG
rnacentral:misc_RNA from 1 species